UUAACCUCAAGUGUUGGGAAAAAAACAAAUAAGGGUGUAUUACCAAGAUGUUUCAAACAGCAUCGUUCUGUGCCCUACUGCAACCUGCCCCGUCGUUCUGCACACGGCGCAGACCCAAACCCUUCCCGCACAAUGCAAGGCUUGAGCUCAGCAGCCUGGCCCCGUUCCAGCCCAUUUCAUGUCUGACUCAGCAGUGAGUGCCCCUGCCGUGCUCUGUAACCUCAGUGGGAGCACAGAGAGGCUCCUGUAAGUGCUGUUAAUCCCACGUGCCAUUGGCAUGUGGCACUUGUAAGGCUUGCUGGGGUCAGUUUGGAUGAAAGAGGCUAUGCAUGUAAGACGUUUUCCAUUGGCAUCCCAAAUCCGUUACUAUAUCAAUGAAAGAAGGGUAUGACUUUGUCGAUCGUGAUGCUUUUUUUGAGCUAGGCAGCUGAUCGAGGGGAUGGUCAUGAAUUUGGGUUUCUUUCUGUGAGCUCUACUGUCCCCUUCAUGGAGAUUAAAAAUUUCCCAGUACUGUUCUCAGCUCCGCAGAGCAAAUCAAAGAUAAUCUCCUGCUUGGAUAUCCUCACGCUAUUGCGAUCCACUAAUAGGAUCACCAUCCAGUUUUGACUUAACAGGCACCGGGAGAGGAUAAUCCUGUUUAUUCGGUCAUCCAAAGCACUGAUGAUCUGAGAUAAUCGGUGGCUGAGAGCAGUGAGGAGGGACGCGUGAGGUGCUCCGUGCCUGGAUGGAUGAGUCAGAUGCUCAGCACUGGGGAACGGACUGAGCUCACCCCUGCAGCCCCAACAGGGCGUGGAGAGCCCCAGCCAACCUCACAAAGAAGACAGAAAGUGGAGAAGCCAACCAGGUGUUCGGGGCCCUGCAGGUGGGAUAUUCAUGUAUGGCUGUUUGAUCAGCCCUGAAGGGCAGAGUUCUUGCUCUCCAACCUUCCUUCCUUUGCACCCUACGAGUCAGUGCUGAACACUGUGCUCCUCCUGAUGGUGCUUCAGGGCUCCUCGUGCAGAGCUCCAUGCUGCAGCACAGCCCUGAAGACAAGGGCACAUCUCUGCUGAAGGCACCGCUGCUGCACUCCGACCACCAGACUGAAGUAGUGGCUGCACUCCUCCGAAGGCACCACAUGUGUUGGCCCGCAGGGAGCAGCAGCAGAGCGGCACGGGGCUGCUUUCCUCCCGGAGCCCCUCGGGGCUGGCAGCGCCCAGGAAUGGAUCUGCAGACCCCCAGGAGGGAAGGCACGACCCCACCGACCUGAGGGCAUCACACCGUGCUGGGGAGUGAGCACAGCCGGGGCUGUCCGCGUGGCCACAUCUGAGCAGGGCGAGAUCUCGUGUGACAGCCACAGCCCUGCACAGCAGCAGUGUGGGACCAUCGGGAGAGCAGUGGCUGUGUGCCUUCACAAGUGCAUUCUGCAGCGUAAGCACGAGGCAGGAGCUGACAGCCCCACCUGCACUCACAUCUUGCUGGGCCUGAUGACAGCAUCUGUUGCAGGAAAUAUCGAGAGUGUGAUAUCAGUGGAGCUGGAUCCUUUGCUGAGGACUCUCCUGGUACCUCCACAGCCAUUCCUGGUGGGAAGCCAGAGCCAACCCGUGCCCCACUUUUUGGUGUGCGUGCAGCACCCACCUGCUUUCUGCUGCCAUGAAUGCAAUGUUUGGAUACCACUGGAGAGGCGCUCGGGCUCUGGUAGCAUUUGUUUCCACCCACCUUCUCCAGUUUGCUCCAUGAAAGCCAUCGGCUGCCUCGCACAGACCCGGAGCUCCUUCUGCAUGGAGCUGUGGGACAGUGAUGGGAGGAGGAGGAGGAGGAGCAGGAGCAGGAGCUGGAGCUGGAGCGAGGCUGCUCUCCAGGAGCCUCAGGAGUCGCUUGGGGCUGAAGAGCGAGGAGAAGCUCGUUUGUUAUGCAAAUAUCUGCUUCGGCCUGGCCUGGCAUAGGCAGUGGAAAGCUCUUGAAUUAUUUUA
rnacentral:lncRNA from 1 species